CGUCGUCGCACUCAACCUCUUGCUCUCCUUCGGGAGUGAUGAACUUGACCUUGUAUGUAGCCAUGGCUGUGACGCGUCCACCACGUGCGGUUCCUGACUUGAGGCCGAAGAGGGUCUGAGUGUUGGCUAAGGGGAGGGAACGGAGGCUGAUGGGAGAUGUUUGACGGCGGAGGAAGGAUGUUCCGACGAUGACGCUUGAGAUAGCUGUGGAGGCCAUUUCUUUUCUUUAGAGGAUUUGAGAAGGUUUCUUGGGUUCUCUGUGGGUUAUGGCUUGUGGAAAUGGCAUGGAGAGAUUAAAAGGUGAGACUGUGGUGGAAUCCUAUCUUCCACGUGGCGUUUAUCUUGUGGGUUGGUGGCUUAUCAUCUUCAUGUUCUGGUGAAUUGUGAUUUGUUUCCUUUUUGUGUGUGAUUGUGUUUGACACACUUUACACUAUCUUGUUGAUGUGAGCUGUACGUGGUGUUAUUUGGGACAACUCACACUAGAUUAGACGGACCAAACUGAAAUUGUUGGUACAGGUCCGGUUAUAAAUUCUGAAGCGAACAGCAGAUUUUAAGAUAUUCAUUUAUCCAAAAGUUUAAACCAAAAAAAAAAAAAAAUUCAGUUCAAUACACCAAUUUGUUUUUUUUAACCGUAACAAACCAAAAAUCUAUUCGGUUCAGUCGGCAUAAAUUUUUUUUGGGGUGGGGGAUUUUCCGCCUACCUCUUUACAGAGAUGAACGCUUUACCAAAAAAAACGGGGAGAAAAAGCUCUCCGUAGCAAAAAAAAGAAAAGAGGAUUUCAAUAAGAAAAUAAAUUGGAUUCUCAAAUCACUACACAAUUUGUCUUCCUCCCUCCACUCAUUCCACAUUUUCCCUUGUUUUGUAAUAAUCUAAACCCGUAAGAAGCUUCUUUCUAACAGACUUAACUGCCACCAACCAACAUUCUUCUCUCCCGCGUUUGCUUUACGCUCUUGCUUCACUAACUCUCUCGCUCUCUCUCUCUCUCUUUCUAAUCGCACUUGAUGUUUCUGUAGAUCCUCCUUACAAACAGAUUCGAUCCUAAGAACCCAACAGCUCCUGCACAUUCAAUUACCAACGUAUUUUCAGACCAAACCAAAUGCCAGUUUUGAAAGUGAGAACGAGAGAGUGAAAAGAUAACUAACCGCAAAGGAUUCCGAGGCCAAGACAGAACAUCAAGGUGUAUCCGAAGUAGAAACUGGUCUGGAAAAACCCAAACAUCUUUGUCUUUACGUAGUAGUAAUAGAUCGAGUAUAAGUAGACAUAAACCGCAGUCGAAGCAGCUGAGAAGAACGACGUCCAUUGCCAGUGAUAGUUUUCCGCAUUUAGCAAGAAGUAUGUUCCCACGAUCGUCACACAGACCGUCACCACAACAAGAAUCAAAAAGACAAGCAGCAUGAAUCCGUACACGUAGUAUACCUGCCACGAAAUGUACGGUGAGUUUUGCUCUUUCUAACUGAAGUUGUAAGCUGUGUAAGAGAUCUUUUUACCUUGUAAUUCCAGAAGGAUGUGAAGACAAAGUACAUUUCGAUGAAGAUGCUGCCGAAGGGUAAGAGACCUCCCAUAAGAGAGACUACUGAUGGAGUCAAGUACCACUUCUUCUCAGGGAUUGGACGUGGGAUUGUCUUCACACGGCAUGGGUUGUUUGGGGCACCACUCCAGUUUCUACCAACGACUGUCCCAAGGAGGGCGAGAGGGAAUGAAAUGAAGCCCCAAAUAACGAACACAACCACCAUCGUUCCAAAGGGAAUAGCGGCAAGAGAACCGUAGAAUAUAGCGAUUGUGUUUAGGAUGAAUCCAAUCCCAAAGCACAAGAAUGGGAAGAGCGAAGCCGUGAGGAUUAUGCACUUGAUCCAAUGUUUACCUGAGCAAAAGAAGUAUCAAGAGAAUUUGAGAAUGAGUCGAAGGAAGGUGUGUUAUUGGAGAGCUUGCUUGCUGUUUUCAACAAAGAUGGAAACAACAUACCCCCACUUCUUGAGUACAUUCCACCGCUCACAUAACCAGAGAUAAAUGACGUCAGAGCGUAGCAAACUAUGAAAGUUGUGACGAUCGCUCCUCUCCUGAACAAGGUUAAACCAGAAUGAUUUUCAGACAAAAGCUAAUCACUUACUCCGUGAGAAAUAACAACAUGAGAAGUUGAUUGAAAGUAGGAGUGUAAUACAUACCCAACAUAAAGUGUCCCAAUGAUUGCCAUUAGUAUGACAAGAAGAACAAGCAAAGCCAACUGUGCACCCGUACCAACAACAGCUGAGAGAAGAACCAGACCACGUGGUGGUCGGAACACAUCUCCGUGCACGAGUUUCCAUCCAGAUUCCUCAUUUACAUCCCGUUCCUGUUAUCAAUGCAUACCAGCUGUCAGAAGUUGCUCCACACUCUUGCACUAACGAUGAAGACAAAAUUGACAACAUCGUAGUAACACUAAGAGAACUUCUGCAGAUAUUAUUCUAGAUAAUAGAUUGAGGAAAAUCACCAGGCUCUCAAGGUCGUCGUCUUCUCGAGCAUAUUUAGCAUAAUCAUUUCUGAGAGUCCUCAUUAAUAUCAUUGAGACCAAACCAGUGAGGAAGAUAACCAUCAUGAACGAGUUAAAGAUGGAGAACCAAUGGAUCUGCAUCAUUAAUGAAUCCAUUAACGGAGCAUUAAGUGUAAUAGGUAUCUAAUUAUGAAGCGAAUGAAAUAAUGUCUGAUAGCAGAAGGAUGAAAACAGUAAGACAUAACAUGCUAUGAUUUACCUGGUGUUCGAAGAAAGGAUAGUCUAGAUAAACAUCAAAACGACGAGCAAAUGUGAUGUCGGUUGGGAUCCAAUUCACAGAAUAUGUCAAAUCAACCGUCCUCCCUGCUUCUAACGGCAUUGGGUUGUCUUGUGUGAGAUUCACAUGAAUAAUCUAUGCAAAUAAAAAAAAGUCAGAUCACAGAAAAGUAAAUAUGAGAUCCUUAAUAAUCUGCUUAAUCACAAAGAAACAACCAACCUGGUCUUUGUUGUAUUUGACAUUAAUACUCUUAUGAGUGUAAAGAGCAUGCUUGCCGUUUUCACUUUUCUUUCCAGGAGGCAGCUCGCCCACAAAACCUAUAACAGCAAUGAGAUAGUCAAAAAUCUAUAUAAGGAACUGAAAUUAAAAUUUUGGUUCUUCAAACUGAAUAUAAGAAAAUAUCAUACCCCACAAAGGCAAAUCAUCUGAAUUUGCAUCCACGUACGCCAUAAACAUAAAAUGCCAAUAAGAAGAAAGACAACAGAUAAGCAAAUAAAGGAUGCUAAACAAAAUUAGUUACACUGAUACAAGAAUAGAGGAAUUACGAUGAUGUUGUAGUAUUAGCUCAUUUUUAAACAAUGUUCAUAGCGCAGCAAGUUGAAUUCCCUUGAUGUACAUAGAGACUUUCUAUUUCAUAUGUAACGCUGACAGUAAGUCUUUUAUGAAAACAAUCAACAUCUUUUCUUUGAUACUUCGUCAUCAGUUAUAUGUAUAAGUAAAUGUGAUACAUACCCAUAAACAACUCAAACCAGUAACUAUUUUCGAUGGCAUCUUUGAAAUGCUUGACCUUAGCUUCAUCAAGUUCCAACUGACAGAUCACGCUUCUGUCAACAUUUUCUGGAAGUAAAACAGAAGUAGGCAAUGUAAGUGUUGUGCAAGCAAAAUUUGAAAGAAAAAAUAGCAAAAGAACUAACAUACUCAAGAACUUUAUGUCUAUCUGGCUGUCGAUGAGCUCAUUUCCACCAAGGACCUCACCAAGACCACCCCAUUUGUGAAUGCUGUUUUCAGUUUUGCGGCAAAACGGGAGGCUAUAAUAGUUAUAUGUUUCUUGUGGAUUAUUAUAUGGGCCAACUUUGUUAACCCAAAGAGUAACCUGCUCAUCNNNNNNNNNNNNNNNNNNNNNNNNNNNNNNNNNNNNNNNNNNNNNNNNNNNNNNNNNNNNNNNNNNNNNNNNNNNNNNNNNNNNNNNNNNNNNNNNNNNNNNNNNNNNNNNNNNNNNNNNNNNNNNNNNNNNNNNNNNNNNNNNNNNNNNNNNNNNNNNNNNNNNNNNNNNNNNNNNNNNNNNNNNNNNNNNNNNNNNNNNNNNNNNNNNNNNNNNNNNNNNNNNNNNNNNNNNNNNNNNNNNNNNNNNNNNNNNNNNNNNNNNNNNNNNNNNNNNNNNNNNNNNNNNNNNNNNNNNNNNNNNNNNNNNNNNNNNNNNNNNNNNNNNNNNNNNNNNNNNNNNNNNNNNNNNNNNNNNNNNNNAAAAAAAAAAAAAAGAGAAGGUUAGGGAAAAAUGUCGACAUACUUGGCGUGUGCCCACAACAUUCUAGAGAAUUUAUUACCAAAUGUCUCCCUUCUCUUAAAAGUCGACUCUAAACCCGUUGCCCAAACUGCAUCAGGAUGUCGACACAUUACUUGUUCCUUUCUCCAACUUAUAUUUUAUUUCUGUAACCAACCUAUCGAGAUUCUCGUACUUACCUCCCACUCAUUCAUGUUGUUGGAUGUUUCCGGGAUAUCCUCUUACGCAAAUCUCUCCACUUUUUUUCAUGAUCCCAACGAGAUCUUCUUCUUAGUCACCCAAUGUUCGUCAAUCUCUGAUUUGAUCCCAUCCUUUGCAAUUUGUGAUAUUGAAUUGAAAAAUAGCUGAUUCUGGGUUUUAUUGUUUAGGUUCUUUGGAACUCGUUCCUGAGCCUCACUCUCAGGUAUUUCAUCGAACACCUUGUCAACAAUCUCCAUUGAAAGAAUGAUUCAUACUUUUUUUUUCCAUCUUAAUUUAAAGUCUUUGCAUCUAAUUUGAAGUUUGAUUUGUGAAGGUCUUCGCAAUCUCACAUUGAAUAUAAGAAUUUUACACGAACUUACCUGUUUAAAGAUUCAUACUUUUGUUCUGUUCUGUUUUAUCUGCUUAAAAGAUUCAUACUUUUCUUCUGUUAUGUUUGGUUCUAUUCUGUUUAAAGAUUCUUACUUUUGUUCUCUUCUGUGCUAAAAAAAAACAGCAACAGAGUCCAUUUUGCAGAUAGUUCCCGACACAAUGGCUGCUUCAUCAUCAACCAUCCUCUGCAAUGCCUCCGAGUCAGACCCUUGUCGUGACGACUCCGCAGCGUUUCUACUGAAACUAGUAGCCAUUGCUUCGAUUCUCUUAUCUGGCGCAGCAGGUGUAUCUGUACCACUCAUAGGCAGAAACCGCCGGUUCCUUCAAACCGACGGCAGCCUCUUUGUAACCGCUAAAGCCUUUGCAGCAGGUGUGAUCCUCGCCACUGGGUUUGUUCACAUGUUAGCCGGUGGCGCGGAGGCUUUGAAGAACCCGUGCUUACCGGAGUUCCCUUGGUCUAAGUUUCCUUUCCCGGGGUUCUUUGCUAUGGUUGCUGCUUUGAUCACUCUGCUUGUGGAUUUCAUGGGGACUCAGUACUAUGAGAGGAAGCAAGAGAGGGAAGCUGAUGAUGAUCAGUUGCAGGGUAUUGUUGUUCCCUUGGUUGGUGAAGGAGGAUGUAACGAUGAGAAAGUGUUUGGAGAAGAAGACAAUGGUGGAAUUCACAUUGUUGGCAUUCAUGCUCAUGCUGCUCACCAUAGACAUAGUCACCCUCAUGGUCAUGGUUCGUGUGAUGGACACAGUAAAAUCGACAUUGGUCAUGGACAUGGACACGUGCAUGGGGGUUUGGAGCUUGGAAGUGGUGCAAGGCAUGUUGUUGUUUCUCAGGUACAAACUCUUUCUUGAUUCUUGUACAGCUUUAAAAUGUCCAAAAAUGAAUCUUUAUAUGAUUUGGUUAGGUUUUGGAGCUUGGGAUCGUGUCACACUCCAUUAUCAUCGGCAUAUCACUUGGAGUAUCUCAGUCUCCAUGCACAAUCCGGCCACUCAUCGCAGCACUAUCCUUCCACCAAUUCUUUGAAGGGUUUGCGCUCGGUGGAUGCAUCUCCCAAGCGCAGUUCAGGAACAAGUCAGCGACCAUAAUGGCAUGCUUUUUCGCCCUCACGACGCCUAUAGGGAUAGGGAUUGGAACUGCAGUGGCGUCGUCUUUCAACUCUCACAGCGUUGGAGCGUUGGUCACGGAAGGUGUAUUGGAUUCGCUGUCGGCAGGGAUACUUGUGUACAUGGCUUUGGUGGAUCUUAUAGCUGCUGAUUUCUUGAGUAAGAGGAUGAGUUGUAACUUUAGGCUUCAGAUUGUUUCUUAUUUGAUGUUGUUCCUUGGAGCUGGACUCAUGUCUUCUCUUGCUAUUUGGGCUUAGAUUGUGAGAUUCUUUCUUUUGUUAUAGCUGCUACAAACAAUGUGUAUAGUUCUAGAAUAAUCAAAUCUCGGAUGAGUUAUUCUUUCUUCUGUUGCCUGGAUGUUUUUGUUCUACAGUUUCCUUAUAAAAUAGAGGAAUUGGAAUUAAGUAUGCGAAAAAAAUAUAUUAAAAAAGUAUCUCCAAUGUUCAAAGACAAUGUUUUGAGAUUAUAAAAAUAAAAAAAAUAAAUAAAAGGGAGAUAAGGUUAGAUUUUCAUCAAAGGUGCACCACUCAUAGUCCUCAAAGAAACUGUACUUCCAGUGUUCAAAGAUAACGUUUAGAUUCUCAUCAAAAGUUCUUCAGAAAUUGCAUUACCAUAAGUUUGAAACAGUUAUCCAUUGAUCUAACCAAAAGAUGGUCCAAACCAAGAACAAUUACAACAGACAACAAUAUAGAUUAUACUAAAGUAACAACAAACUCAACCCAAAAUGUAAAGACAUGAAUGAUUAUGAAACCAUCAAAAGCAGCAUGUUAAUGGAGCUUUUGUCUUAAACAAUGUCAUCUUCUCUGUGGGUCUCAAUGGUAACAUCAGAAGUUGGAUAAGCCGCACAGGUGAGAACAAACCCUUCAGCAAUCUGGUCAUCAUCGAGGAAACUCUGGUCAGACUGGUCAACAAAACCAGACACAACUUUACCUGCACAGCUCGAGCAAGAACCGGCACGGCAAGAGUAAGGCAAGUCGAUCCCGGCUUCCUCAGCAGCGUCGAGGACGUAAACGUCGUCGUCGCACUCAACCUCUUGCUCUCCUUCGGGAGUGAUGAACUUGACCUUGUAUGUAGCCAUGGCUGUGACGCGUCCACCACGUGCGGUUCCUGACUUGAGGCCGAAGAGGGUCUGAGUGUUGGCUAAGGGGAGGGAACGGAGGCUGAUGGGAGAUGUUUGACGGCGGAGGAAGGAUGUUCCGACGAUGACGCUUGAGAUAGCUGUGGAGGCCAUUUCUUUUCUUUAGAGGAUUUGAGAAGGUUUCUUGGUUUCUCUGUGGGUUAUGGCUUGUGGAAAUGGCAUGGAGAGAUUAAAAGGUGAGACUGUGGUGGAAUCCUAUCUUCCACGUGGCGUUUAUCUUGUGGGUUGGUGGCUUAUCAUCUUCAUGUUCUGGUGAAUUGUGAUUUGUUUCCUUUUUGUGUGUGAUUGUGUUUGACACACUUUACACUAUCUUGUUGAUGUGAGCUGUACGUGGUGUUAUUUGGGACAACUCACACUAGAUUAGACGGACCAAACUGAAAUUGUUG
rnacentral:lncRNA from 1 species